AUUGAACGCUGGCGGCAUGCUUUACACAUGCAAGUCGAACGGUAACAGGCCGCAAGGUGCUGACGAGUGGCGAACGGGUGAGUAAUGCAUCGGAACGUGCCCAGUCGUGGGGGAUAACUACUCGAAAGAGUAGCUAAUACCGCAUACGAUCUAUGGAUGAAAGCGGGGGACCGUAAGGCCUCGCGCGAUUGGAGCGGCCGAUGUCAGAUUAGGUAGUUGGUGGGGUAAAGGCUCACCAAGCCAACGAUCUGCAGCUGGUCUGAGAGGACAACCAGCCACACUGGGACUGAGACACGGCCCAGACUCCUACGGGAGGCAGCAGUGGGGAAUUUUGGACAAAGGGCGCAAGCCUGAUCCAGCAAUGCCGCGUGCAGGAAGAAGGCCUUCGGGUUGUAAACUGCUUUUGUACGGAACGAAACGGCUCUGGUUAAUACCCGGGGCUAAUGACGGUACCGUAAGAAUAAGCACCGGCUAACUACGUG
rnacentral:rRNA from 1 species